UACGGGGGGGGCAAGCGUUGUUCGGAAUUACUGGGCGUAAAGGGUGCGUAGGCGGUUCGUUAAGUUGGAUGUGAAAACUCUGGGCUCAACCCAGAGCCUGCAUCCAAAACUGGCGGGCUAGAGUUCUGGAGGGGGUAGCGGAAUUCCUGGUGUAGCGGUGAAAUGCGUAGAUAUCAGGAGGAACACCGGUGGCGAAGGCGGGUCUCUGGGCAGUAACUGACGCUGAGGAGCGAAAGCGUGGGGAGCGAACAGG
rnacentral:rRNA from 1 species